rnacentral:rRNA from 1 species
GAGGAUGGGGCCGUGGCCUAUCAGGUUGACGGUGAGGUAACGGCUCACCGUGCCUAUAACGGGUACGGGCCGUGAGAGCGGGAGCCCGGAGAUGGGCACUGAGACAAGGGCCCAGGCCCUACGGGGCGCAGCAGGCGCGAAGCCUCCGCAAUGCGCUAACGCGCGACGGGGUCACCCCGAGUGCCAGCCGCUGAGGCUGGCUUUUCCCCAGUGUAAAAAGCUGGGGGAAUAAGCGGGGGGCAAGUUCUGGUGUCAGCCGCCGCGGUAAUACCAGCUCCGCGAGUGGUCGGGGCGUUUAUUGGGCCUAAAGCGUCCGUAGCCGGCCCAGCAAGUUCCUCCUUAAAUCCCAUGGCUCAACCAUGGGGCUGGGAGGAAUACUGCUGGGCUAGGGGGCGGGAGAGGCCGAGGGUAUUCCCGGGGUAGGGGCGAAAUCCUAUAAUCCCGGGAAGACCACCAAUGGCGGAGGCACUCGGCCAGAACGCGCCCGACGGUGAGGGACGAAAGCCAGGGGAGCAAAAGGGAUUAGAGACCCCUGUAGUCCUGGCUGUAAACGAUGCGGGCUAGGUGUUGGCUGAGCUUCGUGCUCAGCCAGUGCCGCAGGGAAGCCGUUAAGCCCGCCGCCUGGGGAGUACGGCCGCAAGGCUGAAACUUAAAGGAAUUGGCGGGGGAGCACCACAAGGGGUGGAGGCUGCGGUUCAAUUGGAGUCAACGCCGGG